GGGCUCCAUGGACUGGGAAUGUUGUUCAUAAUUUUUCAGUGAGGUCCUGGGGGCACGAGUCUCUUGGGUAGGUUAUUGGAUUCUAUCUCUCUCUCUCUUUCUGUCUCAGUUAAUGAGAUUAAACAUU
rnacentral:sRNA from 1 species